rnacentral:rRNA from 1 species
UACGUAGGGACCAAGCGUUGUUCGGAUUUACUGGGCGUAAAGGGCGCGUAGGCGGCAAUUCAAGUCAGCUGUGAAAUCUCCGGGCUUAACUCGGAACGGUCAGCUGAUACUGUUUUGCUAGAGUGCAGAAGGGGCAAUCGGAAUUCUCGGUGUAGCGGUGAAAUGCGUAGAUAUCGAGAGGAACACCUGAGGUGAAGACGGGUUGCUGGGCUGACACUGACACUGACGCGCGAAAGCCAGGGUAGCAAACGGG